ensembl:lncRNA
AUGCUGAAAUCUGGCCGAAGGGCUUCACCAAGAGCGAUUUUUCCUUGUGUUCUUGCUGUUGUGUGUGGCAUGGGAAAAGAAGGAAAAGCCCACAGUGCUGCCCCUCUGCUGCACUCCCAGCAGCCUUCAUCCUGCUCUCCUGACCCAGAGCUUGAGGUACUGCAGCAUCCUUCGUGGCUGCAUGUUCUGACCUCCAGAAACCUUUCAGAAUGUUUUGGAGACAACGAAGUAGAACCAACUCAUGCUCUUCAACUCAUCAUCAGCACUACGUGUGCUUGGGCUCCUGGUCCUGAUGUCCAGGUAAGAAGUUAUUUGGAUUACAGCUACGGCCCCAGGCUGACCUUAUACAACAUGGCUCAGAAUGUUGAGUUUUGUGUUUAUUAACACCAAACACAUUUGGGGUUUGUGAGAGUCCUUCUUCUGCUCUUCUUCACGUAGAUUGGAUUUCACUUUGUGUUUUGGCAGAUCCAAACUUAUCAGGUCCACAGCAGACUCAGACAAACACGUGCAGCUUUGUAUCACAGCGUAUUCCAGCUUUACUGAGAGCUGUGCUUUGGGUUGUGCUGAACCAUCACACAAACUUCCUCCAACCAUCAGAGCUUUGCCUGGCCCCUGUAGCUCCUGGAUAGCUGUGUUCCCAGUGUCACUCUUCUUUGCAGAGCAGAGGGAGUCGUGUAACAGCAGAGCUGGAUGAAUGCUUCUGGGAAUGCUCACUUUAGCUUUUAGGUUGUUUGGCUGCUUUAAGUGUCCCUCUUAGUCCAGGUUCCAAGAAUAUUGCAGUGAACUGGCUUAAUGGCUUUGCUAAAAGGGCAACAUUUAGAUAAAUGCUUGAAACCGUUCAUAGGAAAUGAAUCUGGAAUUUAUGGUUGUAAGUAUUUCCAGCAGAAUCUCAGUGUUUGGAUGAGAAACUCUGCUCACCGAGGAGCUCUGAUCCAGUCAUGGUAGAAUUUCAGCCUCUGAAGUGGAAGGGAUGGGGCACAAACUGGCAGCCCUCAGGCUCUUUGCCUCAGGAACUCAGACCCAAUUUCAGGUGCUGGCUGAUGCAGAGCAGCUUUGUGCACACAGCUUGUAUCUGAAACGCAUUCCUGUGUGUAAGGUGAGGGUUUCAGCUCCCAGCAGUUCCCACAUUGCCCUCGGUUGCCUUCUCGGUGCUCCCUACCACAUUGUUCCACCAUUUCAUGACAAAGCUGAGAGUGAGGAGAGGUGCAGCUUUGGGAAACCGAUGCUGUGAGUUUGGUGAGGGGAGAGCACCCUCUCUAGCACAGUGCUGGUAGGACACCCUGAGCACCCUCCCUGCCUCCUCCCUGCUGCCUCUGCCUCGUGCAGGUACAGCAAAAAGGUGCACCCAGCUACAGGAACGACCUGUACAUAAACAACACAGCAGGGGCUGUUGUGUAGAUGGGAAUGCAAGGAGAUUUGUUGUAUGAUAGCGGCUCUGAGGACAGAGAUGUGUGGAUUAAGGUUGGUAUCUUCCAGUGAUACACGUGGCAAACAGGGGACAAGGCUGAGAAUGGUCUGCACGUGUUCUGCAGACCAAGAGGAAUAUUUCCUAGGAACGCCUCGGUCAGGAGUUUGAAACAGAAUAACACUGCUGCAAUAAAAUAAAAAAGCAGUAAAGAGGAUAUACUGCU